UUCCUUUUCGACUGCGGAUGACUGCACAUCGGUACAUGUGUUUUGCCGUGCUACUCCAUCGUCAUCCGUUGUCGUCGAUGCCCGAACGAACACGCGGGUCGCUGCUAAACGGAGUGUGAAUCUCAGCACCGUGGCGUGGAAAAGCUCGCGCCAGUCGCAACCACACGCAAAAGAUAAACAAAAAAGUGCAAACAAAUACAGAAGGUUCUUGUUAAGUAGAAACAUUUAGUGAGUGAACAGACAAAAACAUAAAUAUUCAUUGUGUAUCACUACAACUGCUCUUACUGUUUUACGGAAUUAUACGGGAAAGAAGCAAAACUAUUGGAUGCUCACCAUUGAGUGAGGGUGUACAACAAGUGUAGUCAUACAAGAAGCGCUUGAAGGACAUCUCCCGGUGUAAACGGUGUAUUUCUGGUCUUACAACAUACAGUCUUCGAAAUGGGACAUCUGCGAAACAAACAGCGCCGCCAUCAGGCCAAGGAGGCAGCAAUGCAGCGUGAAGAAAGGAUGCGUCGAUUAGAGGAAAUGGA